rnacentral:rRNA from 1 species
AUUGAACGCUGGCGGCAGGCCUAACACAUGCAAGUCGAGCGGCAGCACAAGUGAGUUUACUUAUGAGGUGGCGAGCGGCGGACGGGUGAGUAAUGCCUAGGGAUCUGCCCAGUCGAGGGGGAUAACAGUUGGAAACGACUGCUAAUACCGCAUACGCCCUACGGGGGAAAGGAGGGGACCUUCGGGCCUUCCGCGAUUGGAUGAACCUAGGUGGGAUUAGCUAGUUGGUGAGGUAAUGGCUCACCAAGGCGACGAUCCCUAGCUGUUCUGUGGGGAUGACCAGCCACGCUGGGACUGAGACACGGCCCAGACUCCUACGGGAGGCAGCAGUGGGGAAUAUUGCACAAUGGGGGAAGCCCUGAUGCAGCAAUGCCGCGUGUGUGAAGAAGGCCUUCGGGUUGUAAAGCACUUUCAGUAGGGAGGAAAGGGUGAGUCUUAAUACGGCUCAUCUGUGACGUUACCUAUAGAAGAAGGACCGGCUAACUCCGUGCCAGCAGCCGCCGUAACAC